GGGCGAUUAGCUCAGCUGGAUAGAGCGUUGGCCUCCGACGCCAAAGGCCGCAGGUUCGAAUCCUGCAUCGCCCG
rnacentral:tRNA from 1 species